ACUCCACCCAGUAGGCUGGUGCUCCCAGAACAACAAGACCCUCCAACCCCCUGAAGAUAACGUUUACCUAAGAAAAGCCAUCAAAGAGAAGUACAGUGACUGGACAG